rnacentral:rRNA from 1 species
UACGUAGGGUGCAAGCGUUGUCCGGAAUUAUUGGGCGUAAAGAGCUCGUAGACGGUCUGUCGCGUCGGCUGUGAAAACUCGGGGCUCAACUCCGAGCUUGCAGUCGAUACGGGCAGGCUAGAGUUCGGCAGGGGAGACUGGAAUUCCUGGUGUAGCGGUGAAAUGCGCAGAUAUCAGGAGGAACACCGGUGGCGAAGGCGGGUCUCUGGGCCGAUACUGACGCUGAGGCACGAAAGCGUGGGGAGCAAACAGG